UACAGUGAUGGAAAGUUGAAAAGAACCCCGGAAGGGGAGUGAAAGAGAACCUGAAACCCUAUGUUUACAAGCUGCUAAAGCACUAUAUAUGUGCGAUAGCGUACUUUUUGUAGAACGGUCCGGCGAGUGUAUGUUGCAAGCGAGGUUAAGGUGUUAAGCACUGAAGCCGAAGGGAGACCGAGUGUGAAUAGCGCGUACAGUUUGCAGUAUACGACCCGAAACCGGGUGACCUAACCAUGGACAGGUUGAAGUGGAAGUAAAAUUCCAUGGAGGACCGAACCCACGUCUGUUGAAAAAGGCGGGGAUGAGCUGUGGUUAGCGGUGAAAUUCCAAUCGAACUCGGAUAUAGCUGGUUCUCAUCGAAAUAGCUUUAGGGCUAGCCUCAGGAUAGUUUAGCGGAGGUAAAGCACUGAAUGGGCUAGGGGGCUUCACGGCUUACCGAACCCUAUCAAACUCUGAAUGCCGCAUAAAUGUUUCCUGGGAGUCAGACUGCGUGAGAUAAGUUUCGUAGUCAAAAGGGAAAGAGCCCAGACCUACAGCUAAGGUCCCUAAAUGAAUUUAAGUGGAAAAGGAUGUGCAGUUGCGUAGACAACUAGGACGUUGGCUUAGAAGCAGCCACUCAUUUAAAGAGUGCGUAAUAGCUCACUAGUCGAGUGAUUGUGCGCCGAAAAUGUAACGGGGCUAAAAUUCAUACCGAAGCUUAGGAAUGAUAGUAAUAUUGUUGGUAGAUGAGCGUUGUGUAAGUCUGCGAAGCUACACCGAAAGGAGUAGUGGAGAUAUCACAAGUGAGAAUGCCGGAAUGAGUAGCGAGAAUUAUGUGAGAAUCAUAAUGGUCGAAAAUCUAAGGUUUCUUGAGGAAGGUUCGUCCGCUCAAGGUAAGCCGGGAGCUAAGGCGAGGCCGAGAGGCGUAGUCGAUGCACAUACGGUAAAGAUUCCGUAGCCACCGAAGUCGUUAAAUACAGGGACACAGGAACAUAGCCUAACCCCACCGUUGGUUGAGUGGGGCGUAAGGGAGCGAAAAAUAGUAGCGAAGUAGGUGAUUGUACACUGGCGAGAAAAGCUGUAUGUAUUGAUAAGGUGCCCGUACCGCAAACCGACACAGGUAGAUGAGGAGAGAAUCCUAAGACCAGCGGGAGAAGUGUUGUUAAGGAACUCGGCAAAAUGACCCCGUAACUUCGGGAUAAGGGGAGCCUACGCGAGUAGGCCGCAGAGAAUAGUCUCAAGCGACUGUUUAGCAAAAACACAGGUCUAUGCUAAAUCGAAAGAUGAUGUAUAUGGGCUGACGCCUGCCCGGUGCUGGAAGGUUAAGGGGAAGUGUUAGAGCAAUCGAAGCACUGAACUUAAGCCCCAGUAAACGGCGGCCGUAACUAUAACGGUCCUAAGGUAGCGAAAUUCCUUGUCAGGUAAGUUCUGACCCGCACGAAUGGCGUAACGACUUGAGAGCUGUCUCAACAACAUACCCGGCGAAAUUGAAGUAAAGGGCGGUGCAAACUAUAUUGUCGGUCAGGGAUAUAUGCCUACUCAAUCUGAAAUUGACAGUAAAAAAGCUGCAGGUUCAACUGCAUACGUAAAAAUUCCGUUUGAGAACAAGCAUUACAUUCCAUAUGCCGCAUCUGCAUCGAAUACUGCAAUAUCAAUCAAUUCAAAACACCCUGAACGAGCAAUGCAGUUAAUCGGUCUUAUGAAUACUGAAAAGGGCAAAGAUUUGUACAAUCUGCUUGUAUUCGGUAUUGAGGGCGAACAUUAUACAAAGGUAAACGACAAGGAAAUUCAACCUAUAGGUUAUACAUCACAACCGACUUCUGAAAGCCCAUACGGACAAUACAGAUUUGCAAUGGGUAACACAUUUAACGGUUAUGAAAUCUAUAUGCAGGACAAGAAUCCAAUAUACGAUAACGAGUUUAUUAAGAGUGUAAACGAUAAAGCCGAAGAUUCAAAGCUUAGAGGUUUUACAUUAGAUACAGACCCUAUAAAGAUGGAACUUGCACAGGUAACAGCUGUAAUAGGCGAAUAUAAGAAAUCUCUUAACUCCGGUGCGGCGGCUGAUCCUA
rnacentral:rRNA from 1 species